GCAAACUUGGUCAUUUAGAGGAAGUAAAAGUCGUAACAAGGUUUCCGUAGGUGAACCUGCGGAAGGAUCAUUACCAAAAAGUAUAUCUUUCAAAUGAAGAAAGAUCUUUUCCUUUGUGCUGGCUUUGACCGUUUGUAAUUUUGGGACUUAAAAACGAUUCUUUAUGAAUCAGUCCCCAAAAACCAUUAUACCAACCUUAUGACUGAAAAACAAAAUGAAUUUUUGAUUUUAAAAACAACUUUCAACAACGGAUCUCUUGGUUCUCGCAUCGAUGAAGAACGCAGC
rnacentral:misc_RNA from 1 species